UACAGAGGGGGCAAGCGUUGUUCGGAAUUACUGGGCGUAAAGGGCGCGUAGGCGGCCUGCUAAGUCGAACGUGAAAUCCCUGGGCUCAACCCAGGAACUGCGUCCGAUACUGGUUGGCUUGAAUCCGGGAGAGGGAUGUGGAAUUCCAGGUGUAGCGGUGAAAUGCGUAGAUAUUGGGAGGAACACCAGUGGCGAAGGCGGCAUCCUGGACCAACACUGACGCUGAGGAGCGAAAGCCAGGGGAGCAAACGGG
rnacentral:rRNA from 1 species